rnacentral:sRNA from 1 species
UUUAUCUCUUGCUCCUUAACUGCUGUGUGCCUCGGUUUCUUCUACGGCUGUGAGGAUUAAACAGAAAACGCAGCAACCAUCCUCAAUGCGGCCAGGAUACCUGUUCCCCCAGCCUGUGGGAAGCCCCAGCAGCUGAACCGGGUUGUGGGCGGCGAGGACAGCACUGACAGCGAGUGGCCCUGGAUCGUGAGCAUCCAGAAGAAUGGGACCCACCACUGCGCAGCAACCUGAACAAACCAUCCCUGUUCUCUGUGCUGCUGGGGGCCUGGCAGCUGGGGAACCCUGGCUCUCGGUCCCAGAAGGUGGGUGUUGCCUGGGUGCAGCCCCACCCUGUGUAUUCCUGGAAGGAGGGUGCCCGUGCGGACAUUGCCCUGGUGCGUCUCGAGCGCUCCAUACAGUUCUCAG